UGGACCAAUGAUGACGACUGGUGGGGUAUGAGUCAUGGAUGAUGAAUACUGUAUGUCGGGACUCUGAGGUCCAA
ensembl:snoRNA